GUGUCGGGGUUUUUAGGGGUAACCAUAACAACGUACACUACAUAUGUUUAGGAAAUAAAGCUGCAAUUAUAUCUUCUUUUUAUACUGUGUUUUCUCGAUUUUUAAAUGUCUCUAUAGAUCAUUAUAAUUCAAUGUUAUUUAUGUAAUGUCAAUUCACAACAACAUGUGCCUCGAAGGAUACUAGAGGAUGCACCUGUAGUAUAAGUUUGACCAUCCUAGAGGACUUCCUUCUUUCAUCAAGAGGAUCUAAGGAUUCAGGAGUGACGGACGAUUAACAGCCAGGAGAUGGCAGUAAUGCAACAGUUUUGGAUGCAAGCUGCCGUUAAACUUGACUGAAGAAGAAGACUUCCUUCUUUAGUUAUUACAUUCACAACAUUCUCAGAGAGCGUAACUUUUCAAAUGGCAUACCUCAGGCUUUCGUCUCAGUUCCCUUCCAUAAGGAUGGCUUCUUGAUAACCAGCCUUUCACCGAGACCAUUUCAGAUGAAGCUUCAAUGAACAGUGGCUCACACGGAUCUCAGGCUCCGAAGGCCUGUGGUGUCCUGCUAACAACCGGGUUGCUGUACAUACCAUGUCCUGCUCUGGUGUUACAGCAGGCUCCGGGGGCAACAGCUGCUUAGGCGGUCGAACGACAGUGGGCAUGAUACGAUUAUGGAGAGACGUUUCCUCCUCAGUAGCCUCUUCCAAGAUCUGGGCAGGGAAACCAUCUGACUGAAAAGGUAAUCAUCUUACAAGAUUUUUGGAGAAAAGGAAAAACUGAAAAAGGAGACCGAUCAUUCUCCUGUAACUAUCUGCAUUACCUCGUUCAUGA